GUUUAAAAACGUCACAUCCGGGCAGUAUGUUCAGUUGAACUCACAGCGGUUGAGCAGAAAGACCAAAGAAGCUGUGUACACCAUCCAGCAUCAAUAUGGAAAGCACUGCGGCGAUGAAGCCAGGCUCUGCUCCACUCAGACCUCCUGAUUGACACCUGCUGCUCUAGGUUGACUUUGAGGCGAAAUUAAGUCAGUAACCAUGAAGAUCGGUGUUGUGGCUCCUUAUUGAAACUGCAAACUUCAAGGACUUGUAACGCAUGAAAAGACUUUGAUGCAGAUCGAGGGUCUGAGAACCAGUUCAUGUGCUGAGGAGAAACAAAGGCCAUAAUUGGAUAACUAGGAGUCAGAUAUUGUCUGUCUACAGUCCCAAUUUCCAAGAAUGGUGCGGGUCUUGGAAAAAUCUGCUGUAACAGUCCAGCUAUGCAUAGGUGAGGCAGAUGCCAAAGCCAAGACGCAACGGUGGAGAGCAAGUUUGUGAAACCUGGGGAAAGUGUCCUAAUUAAUAAAGGACUUGCAUAUAUAUCGAUAUGGUUUAUGGAAAAUGUUUGUAUUAAGUGUUUGGUGAGAAACAUUGUUAAAAUAAACAUUUCUUAUAAAAAAUAUUUGCUUUGUGUG